UGGGCCUGCGCGUCCGGAGCCUGUGCUCCGCAACGGGAGAGGCCACAACAGUGAGAGGCCCGCGUACCGCAAAAAAAAAAAAAAAAAAAAAAAAAAAAAGACUCUGAGCCUCAGUCUCCUAAUCUGUAAAAUGGGGAUAAGCAUACUUCCCUGCACAGGGCGAUGGUGAGGAGAACCAACAGGUAAUGUGGGGUAAGGGCCAGAAGUGUUCCUGAGUGUUCCAGAAUCUGCCUCCCACCCUCCUUGCCUGGGUGACUCCACUGAGACAGUGCCUCUCCUGGGAGCCUGACCGGACCUCCCAAGUCUAAGUUAAAUGCCCUAUGAGCAUCCUAUCAGAGCACUUUUCAGAUACGUCUGUCACUGCAUGUUUACUUGCCUGUCCCUCCCACCCAGUCCCUGCACACAGCAGGCGUUCAACGACUGUCAUCGAAUGAACUAACCUUUCUCAACAGGCCUUUCCAUAGAAUUGAAGAAAGAUAUAAAGUAAGCAAAAUAAUGAUAACCCAAUGGCCUUUACUGAUUGCAAAUGACUUGCACAUUUAUUAUCCCAAUUCGUGACUUACAUUAAGAGUCCCAUGAGGUAGGCAGGGAUACUUUUUAAAAUGUUUUUAUUACUUUGGGUUAUAACAGGCACUCCUUCUUCCACUGGCUCUGAACUCUGGCUGGUGUAGCUAUUGACCUGGGCAGCUCGUGAGAAGGGCUUCAGGAGGACCUGGAUUAGCACAGAUAAUCAGGAGUGGGAUGUAUUUUCGCUACCUACACACCUUUUGUCAUCUUAGCUUCCUCAUUUGAACAGAAGCUCUUUGAAGAUUUGCCUGUCCUGGACAUUUCAUAUGAAGGGAAACAUACAACAUGUUGUCCUGUGUGACUGGCUUCUCUGACUUAUGUUUCCAAGGUUCAUCCAUGUUGUGGCAUGUGUGAGUAUUUCAUUCCUUUUUUUGGCCAAAUAAUAUCCAUUGUAUGGAUAUACCACAAUCUGCUUAUCCAUUCAUCGGCUGAUGGCCACUUAGAUUGCUUCUACCUUUUGAAUAUUGUGAGUAUUGCUGCUGUGAACGCGGGUGUACAUAUAUAUACACCUGUUUCCGUCCCUGCUUUCACUUCUUUUGAGGGUAUGACCAGAAGUGGAAUUGCUGGGUCAAAUGGUAACUCCGUGUUUAACCUUUGGAGGAAUUUCCAGACUGUUUUCCAAAGCAGUUGCCCCGUGUUCCAUUCCAAUCAGCAGUAUAUGAGGGUUCCAGUUCUCCUCAUCCUUGCCAACACUUGUUAUUAUGUCUUUUUGAUUCUAGCCAUCCUAGUGGGUGUGACGUUGUAUUGUGUUUUAAAUUUGUACAUCACCGACAACUAACGAAGCUGAGCAUUUUUUUCAUGUGCUUAUGGGCCAGCUGUAUAUCCUCCUUGGAGAUAUAUCUAUUCAAAUCCUUUGCCCAUUUAAAAAUGUGGUUGUCUUUUUUUAUUACUGAGUUAUGUGUUCUCUAUAUACUUUGGAUGAAAAAGUCCCUUAUCAGAAGAUUUGCAAAGAUGUUCUCCCGUUUUGUGUUCCUUUUUCACUUUCUUGAUGAUGUCCUUUACAGCACAAAAGUUUUUAAUUUUGAUGAAGUAUAAUUUUAUUGUUGUUAUUGUUGCUUGUGCUUUUGGUGUCACGUCUAAGAAGGUUUUGCCUAACCCAAGGUCAUAAACAUUCACUCAAAGAGUAAACAUUUUCUUCUAAGAAAGAGUUUUAUAGUUUAUUGUUUACAUUUAGGUUUAUGAUUCAUUUUGAGUUAACUUUUGUAUAUGGUGUGAGGAAAAUCGUAAGUUCUCAAUAAAAGCCUCCUUUUAGCUGGGCAUCUGCUCAGCCACUGUACUUUCAACCCAAACAGCUAACACAGAGAUGUGAAGGGGACCUCUAACAAGAUAUAGAUGCUGACAGAAUCAAUCUCUGGGCAGAAGAUGUCCCUACAUUCCUUUUCAUAUAAGUCAGUAUCUGAUUUUGAUUUGUCUGAGCACAGGCUGUUGAAAGCGCCCAGAUGUGCCGAGAUGAAAUUGACAUGUUGAAAGCAGCCCCACUGGGUAUAAAGGAGUUUAUACACAAUUGAGUUGCUCCAUGUAGUAAUCAAGUUAUAAAAGGGCAGCUCUAAGGAAACCGCCUAAUUGGCAAAAGAAAGUCCAGCCCAGCAAUUAGAGAACACCACCUACACAGCUUGGCUAGACCCCACCUGGCUGUUUUCCUACAGCAGGAAAAAAAAAUAAAAACCAUCAGACCAUUUUCUAAAUGGAAUAGAACAUUUCAGCACAAGCAAUAAUUAGGAGAUAACUACCCUCUUGGCUGCUUUCCACACUUGACCUCUGGCCCCUGCCUCUGAGCAUACCCGCGACACACAGUGAUCUCACAACCACCCCACACCAGCAGCUACACACUCGCGUGCACCCUGCGGCCCUUCUCCCAGGACCCCUCCUCCCCAGGCAUCCCCAGAGCCCAUGUAGUCCCCUUGGUCCAGAGAGGCCAGACAACCCCUUGCUGGUGAGGUCACACACCUCUGGGAAAAACAGCACACCAUCUACUUUUAUUAGCCAGACCCUCUGGCAGCCUCCUUUGAACUCUAAAACUAGAUUCUUCCAUGUCCUCCUGCUGAGGAUGUCAGGACCAGGCCUCUCCGUCCUUCCGGGUGGGCACAGGUGGCUGGGGGACAGGCACUUUGAUUAGAGAGCCUGGAUGUCAGAGAGGAACCUUCUACCUCUCCCAUUUUUCAGGCAGGAAACUGAGCAGACAGAGUGGUUUGUCAUGGUGGAAAAGCAACCUAAGGCAGAGCUGGAAUAUGAACACAAAACCCUGAUCAUUUGAAUCUAACACUCUUUUUUUUUAAAUUUUUUGGCCGUGCUGCACAACACGUGGCAUCUUAGUUCCCCAACCAGGGAUUGAACCCAUGCCUCCUGCAGUGGAAGCACGGAGUCCUAACCACUGGACCGCCACGGACGUCCCCUGAACCUAACAUGCUUAUCAGUAUUUCAUUGCAUGUAUGUAAUGUGCAAGGAAUAUGUACAAUGUGAAGCUGAUAUUUCUUUUUAUUAUAAUUAUUUACUUUUUGGCUGCAUUGGGUCUUAGUUGCGGCACGCGGCAUCUUCGUUGAGGCAUGCGGGAUAGUUCAUUGUGGUGCGCGGGCUUCUCUCUAGUUGCGGCGUGCAGGGUUUCUCUUCUCUAGUCGUGGCGCACAGGCUCCAGGGCACGUGGGCUCUGCAGUUUGCAGCAAGCGGACUCGAGCUGAGGCGCACGAGCUCAGUAGUUGUGGCGCAAGGGCUUAGUUGCCCCGUGGCAUGUGGGAUCUUAGUUCCCUGACCAGGGAUCAAACCCAUGUCCCCUGCAUUGUAAGGCGGAUUCUUUACCACUGGACCACCAGGGAAGUCCCUGCAGCUGAUAUUUCUGACUCCAAUAUUUAUCUGCACUUACCCGAUCUCCCAGCAGAUCCUAGGCCAUGGACUCAUUAACCCAGUGCUUUUUUUGCCCCUUUUUCUCUGUCUUUAUCUGCAGCUCUAUGGAACGGUAAGAGCCAUGUAACUGACAAUAUUUCCCCAAAGCUGAGAAGUUCGCAGUCUCCAGUAGGGUUCUCUCCCCCAGCACACCGUUUAGCAGAUUUUCCGCCUGUAGAUGGGAUGUUCCACUCAAUUCAAGCCUGAAUGCUAAGGCGCUGACGGGCGGGGAAUGAGGGCGCACAAACGCCCAGGACUGUCUUAACCAGAGUCCCGGCAGCCUACAGAGUUCAUUUUCGGGUUAUAUCUCUCCUGGCCUCCAAAAGUUUACAUUUUCUGGAGACAUGAAUUUUGUGGAUAGGUAAAUAAUUCUAAAAAAAUAAGAAGAACAAGAACAACAGCUACCAUUUCUUGGCCGUAUCCUAUGGGGUAGGCACUGUUCCGAGUCCUACAGGGAUUGGCUCAGUUACCUCAUCCACAUCCCUAUCAGGUGGACGUCAGGCAUUUAAUGAUGAAGAAACAGGCACGCAGAGGUUAAGUCACCUGCCCACGAUGACAUGGGUAGCAGCUGGUAGCAGUUUCCCGGAGCUGUUGACUAGCUGGAAGCUUUCGGUGAGAAAGAUGACAACGCAUGUGGUAUGUGGCCCACCCAGUUCCGUGACUAGGAGAGGAAGGUUCCGCCCAUCUGGACCCUCUCACGGAACAGAACUGUACUUUGGAGCUGAAAAAUACCACCGAAUAAUGAGGUACUUCCGGUCCGCCGCAAAGCCCAGUGGACCCUACUGGAACAAAAGCCAAGCAGAGGCGGCAUGGAGGUCACUGCAGAGACAGCCUUGAAAGAGUUUUACCAGGAGAAACUGUGAAGCAAUCAAUCAGGACGCCAACAAUGCCUUGCUGUCCUGGAGGAGUAAGGAUGUGACCCACACCCAAGCCACUUCGCUCUCAGCUUCACUCCAGCCGUUCUGAGGUCCUUUCUGCGCCCCAUGUACUCCGGUGACACCCUUCCCACUUUCACCUGGCACGUGUCUGUUCAUCCACUAAACCCAGUUUAGAUGGCACUUCUUCUGGGAAGCCCUCCCUUCUCUACUGAUUCUGAACCUUGUCAAUCCUUCCCCUGUUGGCCUGGUCACUCUGAAUAAUGAGCGGCUUACAGGUCUGUCUCCCCCACGUGACUGAGUACCUUCUUUGAAUUUUAUUUUUUAAUGGAUGGGUUGGUGUCUUACGAAGGUAAGUGCUCACGAGAUGAAAUGAAAUGGAGUCUUGUUUCCCAAAGGGACCCGAAUCCGGUUGGCCUGUGGAAUGCUGCUCUCUGAAGUUAAAUGUGCGAAGUUACUUCCAUUUUGUUUCAUACGACAUUGAUAACCAUCGACACCCGGCCCACGGCUGCACCAGCAGCGCAGUGGCUGGUGGAAAACAGGUGACGUCAGAGGCAGAGGCACACGUGUCCCCCACGGGCACCGGGCGACGCCGGCACAGAUGGCAGGCUGUCAGUUCGUUCACCGUCUGACGCAUGAAAAGAUCGCUGAUAACCAACUUAAAAAUGACUCUGCCACUCAGGAGACGUUGAUUUUGAUGAUAAUGACAGACAGGGAAGGAGAUGGGUGGUGGAACUUGCACAGAAAGCAGUGACGAGACUUGCCCAAAACCAGCCAGGGAGGGGCACGCCUGGGAACAUGGCCCAGUGUUUCCAGCUCCCAAAUCCGGUUCCCUUAGAGAUCAAUCCCCCAAAAGGUUUCAUGGGUGUCUUAGCAUUCUAGAAGUUGGGGAGCAACAAUAUAUUUAAUUGAAUCUUACUUAUCCUUCAAUUUCACCUUCUCCCUGCAACCUGUCCCAAUACCUCUCCUCUGGACUCUUAUGGGGUUCUAAAUCUAUAAAUAAACAACCGGCACUUAAUUACAAUGUGCUCCUUUGCUGCUUCCUGGACCUUGCUUCUUCAACUGGAUCAUAAAUUCCACGAAGACAGGGCUCUAUGUUGUUCCAUGACUUCCUAUAGUGCCUAGGACGAGGCGUGGUUCACAAGAGACACUGAAUACGUAUCUGUUGAUGCAUGCAAUAUAUGUGUGUUUGUACAUGUGUCUGGCAUUGCCACCUCACUGGGGGGAGCAUUCAUGGGCCAGGCCGCCUCCAUCUGAAAAUCCUCCCACCUCAGGGGCAGGUCUCCCCAGAGGAAAUGAUGAAAUUUGCCCAAGAAUUUUUUUUCUAGGGAUAUAAUAAAUGCUGCCUUGGUGGCUUUCUUCCCAUUUCCAUUAAUAUUCAUUUGCAAUUUAUUUAUUAUUUAGUCUUCUCCUUGCUAGCAAGAACUAAAGUUUUCAGAAAAAAAAAUUGGACAGAAACAAAAUUGAGAAAACUCAAAAUCUAUUACCUAUUAUCAAUCAAAAAAUACUGAUUAACUUUUUUUUUUCUGAAAACCAGGUGGUAGGGGGACCUUAGUUAUUUGGUAAUUGGGAAAAAAAUUCAUAUUCCAGGGCUUCCCUGGUGGCGCAGUAGUUGAGGGUCCGCCUGCCGAUGCAGGGGACACGGGUUCGUGCCCUGGUCUGGGAAGAUCCCACAUGCCGCGGAGCGGCUGGGCCCGUGAGCCGUGGCCGCUGAGCCUGUGCUCCGCGACGGGAGAGGCCACAACAGUGAGAGG